UAAUACGUAGGUCCCGAGCGUUAUCCGGAAUUACUGGGCGUAAAGAGUUCGUAGGCGGUCCGUUAAGUUCGGCAUGAAAGACCGGGGCUCAACCCCGAGUUUGUGCCGGAUACUGGCGGACUAGAAUCCGGGAGAGGUUGGCAGAAUGGUACGAGUAGGGGUGCAAUCCGUUGAUACGUACUGGAAUACCGAAAGCGAAGGCAGCCAACUGGAACGGUAUUGACGCUGAGGAACGAAAGCGUGGGGAGCGAAAAGGAUUAGAUACCCUUGUAGUCCACGCCCUAAACGAUGGAUGCUGAGUGUCGGGCCUUGUGCCCGGUGCUUCGAAGCUAACGCAUUAAGCAUCCCGCCUGAGGAGUACGGUCGCAAGAUUAAAACUCAAAUGAAUUGACGG
rnacentral:rRNA from 1 species